UACGUAGGGGGCAAGCGUUGUCCGGAUUUAUUGGGCGUAAAGAGCUCGUAGGCGGUUCCGUCAGUCGGGUGUGAAAACUCUGGCUCAACCCAGAGACGCCACCCGAUACUGCGGUGACUAGAGUCCGGUAGGGGAGUGCGGAAUUCCUGGUGUAGCGGUGAAAUGCGCAGAUAUCAGGAGGAACACCAAUAGCGAAGGCAGCUCGCUGGGACGUUACUGACACUAAGGCGCGAAAGCGUGGGGAGCGAACAGG
rnacentral:rRNA from 1 species